ensembl:processed_transcript Gm4219 predicted gene 4219
GACGGGGCGCGCGGUGCGGGACGCGGAGGCUGGGAUGCGCGCGCUGGACCAUGGAGAUGGAGAAGCUAAAGAGAAGCAAAAACCUUUCCCAGGGUAUUGUUAAGACCUUCAAACUUCAGAUACAGACACUCACUGAAUGUGAGUGCUUUGCUUUAAGUAAGAAAUUAUUUGGCACAUUGAAGCCUAGCAAGGACUAGUGUCGAGGAUUUGAGAAGUUGUUUGUUUCAUUUUCAUCACUGCACUGAUUAAUCAGUCCUGUGGAGUAGUGAGGACUUAGUCUGUGAUACAUGAGAGGCAAUAUGUUAUGUAGUGUACAAAGCCUGGGCCAGAAGCCUGGCUUUGAAUCCCAUGUUUGCGUAUUGCUGGCUAUGUAUCUUUAGGAAGAAAAUUUCCUUCUUUUAGCCAUCUGUAAAAUCAGAGUCUGUCCUAACAAACACCAGGGCAUCUCCUCCCAGUCCUGAUUCCAACUAGUCCAACUGUAGCACGAAGAAGCAAAUUGCAUUUUAAUUACCUAAUUGGGUACAGAAAAUAUACUAAAGCAGAUUUCCUUUUUAUGUAAUUUAUUAAUGAUGGAUCCCCUAAUUUGGAAGGAAUAGAUAUGUAUAUAUGUAUGUAUAUAUUUCAAGAUGUCCUGUGUAUUCUCUUCCCCCAAAUGAAAGCAAUUAAUGAUCAGAGAAAGGAAGCAAAUGUAACUCUAAUUAAUUGGCCCUGCUUGAGGAAAUCGACACCAAACAGCUCAAGAUUUGGAAGAAAUUACACAUAGGGCAAGUGGCUUGAAAGCCUUGAACAGUUCCCUUAUAGCCAUCAGUAUAACUUCUGUUAUCAGCAGCUUCUUUGAACUAUGAAGAGAUGCUGGGGAGGGCAAGAAAUUGUGAAGCAGAGCACACAUUUGCACAUAAGGACGUUUCAUGUAAAAGAUUUUCCAUUUCUUGAUUAUGGUCUCAUAAUAUUAUGUCAGACAACCUUUGUUCCCUCAACCAAAUAGAUGCAUAUGAAUUCAUAUAACAGGAAUGUAUUUAUGACAACUGCUAUAUGGUAUUGGACAAGAUGAAUAAACCCCAUUUGAUCUUUUGUCCUUCCAAGGAACAUUGAAAUUGUUUCCAAUUUUUAGCUAUCAUAAACAACGGUUUGUAGAUGUACAAAUUGUCUCCUUAUGAGCAUGCACAGAGAGUGGGGGUGUUUUGUAAUAUUACCUCUCUUUUGAAAAUAUAUUCAUUUAGUUAUUUAACUAGUUAUCAGAUGGGGAACAUACCACAGCACACAAGUGGAGGUCGGAGGACAACUGAUUCUCUUCUUCCUCCACACGGGUCGUGGGGAAUGAAUUAGAUCAUCUGUCUUGUGGACAGACACCUUUGCCAUCUUCCCAUCAUACUUGCCCCUAAUACCUCUUCUUUAAUAAUAAUGAAUUUUGUGAGUGACAAUAGGCCAACAUAUCAGAAGAGCUGAGUCAUACUCCUGGUUCUACAAACCCACAAGCUAUAGGUAGACCUGGUUUUUUAGUUUUGUUUUUUGUUUUUAAAACAAACAAACAAAAAAUUCCACCUAAGCCUUGAAAGCACCUUCUAAUCUCAGGAUUCUCAAAGUCCUGCUUUCUGAAAAGUAAGAAUUAUUGUUUUUAAGUUCUCUCUCCUCUAAUCUCAGCUGUCCCAUGAUGACUCAUCUUAAAGUGUUCAGUCUUCCCAGUGUUACCUCUCACUUGGUUUAGAUAGAGGUCAGCAAUGACUGGAAUCUCGGUUAUUACUGAACGAUUAUUAUUAAAGUGACUUUAACCCACUAUCCUCACUGGCAAGGAGGCUCAGUGAGUAAAGCAGUUGCUGUGCAUGCCGGAUGAGCUAAGGUCAAUCCCUGGAACCUAAUAACAGUGACAGAAAAGAGCCAACUUCAUAAAGUUGUCCUCUGGCCUCCACAUGUACAGCACAUAAGUGCACACACACACAAAUUUGAUUCAUUUGUCCUUGUGCUUUGUAAAAAAAAAAAAAAAAAAAAAAAAAAAAAAAGAAAUGCAUGGAAUGUAUAUUUCUAGACUCUGGGUUAGUCUGGAGAAUAUUUAACUGUCAGGCUACUCUCAAAAAUAUAUGAUGUCUUUGUUUCUCACCN